rnacentral:tRNA from 1 species
GCCCGGGUGGUGGAACCGGCAGACACGAGGGACUUAAAAUCCCUUGCCCGUUCAGGGCGUGCGGGUUCGAUUCCCGCCCCGGGCA